AGAGUUUGAUUAUGGCUCAGAACGAACGCUGGCGGCGCGCCUAAUACAUGCAAGUCGAGCGAGAAGGUGUAGCAAUACACUUGUAAAGCGGCGAACGGGUGAGGAAUACAUGGGUAAUCUACCAUCGAGUGGGGAAUAACCAACCGAAAGGUUGGCUAAUACCGCGUACGUUUCUGAGCCUUCGGGUUCGGAAGGAAAGCCGUACUGUGAGUGCGGCGCUCUUUGAUGAGCUCAUGUCCUAUCAGCUUGUUGGUAGGGUAACGGCCUACCAAGGCUUUGACGGGUAGCUGGUCUGAGAGGACGAUCAGCCACACUGGCACUGCGACACGGGCCAGACUCCUACGGGAGGCAGCAGUAAGGAAUAUUGCGCAAUGGGCGAAAGCCUGACGCAGCGACGCCGCGUGGGGGAUGAAGGUCUUCGGAUUGUAAACCCCUUUCGGGAGGGAAGAUGGAGCGAGCAAUCGUUCGGACGGUACCUCCAGAAGCAGCCACGGCCAACUUCGUGCCAGCAGCCGCGGUAAUACGAAGGUGGCAAGCGUUGUUCGGAUUCACUGGGCGUACAGGGUGUGUAGGCGGUUUGGUAAGCCUUCUGUUAAAGCUUCGGGCCCAACCCGGAAAGCGCAGAGGGUACUGCCAGGCUAGAGGGUGGGAGAGGAGCGCGGAAUUCCCGGUGUAGCGGUGAAAUGCGUAGAGAUCGGGAGGAAGGCCGGUGGCGAAGGCGGCGCUCUGGAACAUACCUGACGCUGAGACACGAAAGCGUGGGUAGCAAACAGGAUUAGAUACCCUGGUAGUCCACGCCCUAAACUAUGGAUACUAAGUGUCGGCGGGUUACCGCCGGUGCCGCAGCUAACGCAUUAAGUAUCCCGCCUGGGAAGUACGGCCGCAAGGUUGAAACUCAAAUGAAUUGACGG
rnacentral:rRNA from 1 species